GACGAACGCUGGCGGCGUGCUUAACACAUGCAAGUCGAACGGAAAGGCCCUGCUUUUGUGGGGUGCUCGAGUGGCGAACGGGUGAGUAACACGUGAGUAACCUGCCCUUGACUUUGGGAUAACUUCAGGAAACUGGGGCUAAUACCGGAUAGGAGCUCCUGCUGCAUGGGGGGGGUUGGAAAGUUUCGGCGGUUGGGGAUGGACUCGCGGCUUAUCAGCUUGUUGGUGGGGUAGUGGCUUACCAAGGCUUUGACGGGUAGCCGGCCUGAGAGGGUGACCGGCCACAUUGGGACUGAGAUACGGCCCAGACUCCUACGGGAGGCAGAAGUGGGGAAUAUUGCACAAUGGGCGGAAGCCUGAUGCAGCAACGCCGCGUGCGGGAUGACGGCCUUCGGGUUGUAACCCGCUUUCGCCUGUGACGAAGCGUGAGUGACGGUAAUGGGUAAAGAAGCACCGGCUAACUACGUG
rnacentral:rRNA from 1 species